GACAGAGGGUGCAAACGUUGUUCGGAAUUACUGGGCGUAAAGGGUUCGUAGGCGGUGUGGCAAGUCGGAAGUGAAAUCUCUGGGCUUAACUCAGAGGCUGCUUCCGAAACUGCCGUGCUAGAGUGCGGGAGAGGCGAGUGGAAUUGCAGGUGUAGCGGUGAAAUGCGUAGAUAUCUGCAGGAACACCCGUGGCGAAGGCGGCUCGCUGGACCGCAACUGACGCUGAGGAACGAAAGCUAGGGGAGCAAACAGG
rnacentral:rRNA from 1 species